CACAUUUACAGAAUAAAGGCUUCAUAAUUACGGCACUCGGUCCUUCACAAAAAAACAAUUAAGUCAAAUCAAUAUGGAGUGCGUUCAAGAUCUAUCCAGUAGUUGGCCAUCAGAUGUUUCCUACAGAGCCACAGUGCCCCUGCCUCAGCUUAAAGAGCACACAUUGGAGCCUGAAUAACAUCCAGGUCUGAUAGCACAGUCUUGGCUGCUGAGCCAUACCAUAAUCUGUUCUUGCCCUGAGAUUGCCCCUCUACACCCUGAUCAUGAUUAUGCUGAACUGCCCCUGCCACUGGAGGAGCAACUUAAGGAAGCCUACAAGACCAUCAAUGAUCAAGCAGAAUUAAUAGCACAGCAUCAAGAAAAGCAGUUCCUCCUUUGAAGAUUCCAAGGUGGUGAUAAGAACCCUUUUUCCUUUUUCUUUGUCAUCUGAGGCAAGGUUUUUCUGAACAGGACUUUGCAUUGCGCUUCAAUGUGUCACAGUUAACUGUAAGCAGGGUCUGUGUAACUUGGACAGACUUCCUAAAUUUCAUGUUAGGAUCAUUUCCAAUUUGGCCUUCAAGAGAACCUGUAAACAAGCUGCCUCCUUGUUUCCAGAGCGCUUAUUAUUAGUUAUAGUUAUAUUAGAUUGUACGGAAAUACGUGCAAAGACCUAGUUCAAAAGUUCUCAACUUUGAAUAUACUCUCACUACAAAGGUAAUACCACCUUUAAGGGCCUAAUUAGAUUCUCUCCAUCAGGUGAAGUGAAUUUGUCAAUGACCUGUACACAGGUUCGAUAUCUGACAAGGGGAUAACAAGAGAAUCAUUGAUCCUAUCUUUACUUGAGGAAGGCGGUGAGGUCAUGGCUGAUGAAGCCUUUCUCAUCAAGCAUCUUCCUUCUGAGAUAAAGGUCUCCCUUGUGAUCCCACUCUUUUUAGGCACAAGUAGACAUUUAAACCCAGAAGAGGUGAUGCAGGCACAAGCAAUAGCCAAAUUUCACAUUCAUGUAGAGGAGGAUCAGGAGUAUCACAUAUUUAAUUGUCUUACCCAUGACACAAGUGGGCUCUUUUAACCAACUGUGGACUGUUUGUGGCCUCUUACGUAACCUCCAAGGCCCUCUGUUCUAAAGAGUGCUAGUGCCUCAGCCGAGUGUUGCCACUUCCUGUAUCUGUCAUUUCAAAUUUACAGCCCCUCAGCAUUUUAUGCACAGUCUAAAGUAUUUGUACUUCACUGUGCAGACUGAUGUAUGUGCAGAAUUUGACACUGGCAGGCUGUUUGCACAUUCAUCCACUGAAAGUGUAAAGUUUGUCUUUGCUCAUUGAAAUUUAGGCCGAAAACCAAAUCCAAAAGUGAGAAAUACUGUAUUCAUCAUGUUUGGAAAUAAUCAUGGCACUAUGCUGCCCGGAAAGACACUCCCCAGUGUCUUUCCGGGACUAUGCUGCUGUGCUCUCUGUUUCACACUGCAUAACAGCUGCAGCCCACUUCUGCUGUUUCAAGUUAAAGUGUUGUUGUAAAGGAGAAAGUUCGUGCCAAAACAGAAACUUUAUUUAAAUUCAUCUUAAAAAAAAUGUUGCACUGUAGACUCUUUAAUUCUUAUGUAUUUACUUGCAUCAAUAUACCUGCAAACCUUGACAGUUUAUUGAAAUGUUAGUGGAAUUAAUUCAUUUUUUGCAUCCUGAUAGACUAAAAUGUCUGUGUGGAUUCCAAGAGAGACAUCAUGUAUAUAUUUAGGCCUCAACUAAAUAUUUUCUGGAAAA